rnacentral:rRNA from 1 species
UUGGAGGGCAAGUCUGGUGCCAGCAGCCGCGGUAAUUCCAGCUCCAAUAGCGUAUAUUAAAGUUGUUGCAGUUAAAAAGCUCGUAGUUGAAUUUCGGGGUCAGUAGGUCGGUCGUGCCACUGGUAUGAACUGGUUUUACUGAUUCCUCCCUCUUGAAGAACUGUAAUGCCAUUAAUUUGGUGUUGCAGGGAAUCAGGACUGUUACUUUGAAAAAAUUAGAGUGUUUAAAGCAGGCUUUAGCUUGAAUACAUUAGCAUGGAAUAAUGAAAUAGGACGUUUGAUCCUAUUUUGUUGGUUUCUAGGAUUGACGUAAUGAUUAAUAGGGAUAGUUGGGGGCAUUAGUAUUCAAUUGUCAGAGGUGAAAUUCUUGGAUUUAUUGAAGACUAACUACUGCGAAAGCAUUUGCCGAGGGUGUUUUCAUUAAUCAAGAACGAAAGUUAGGGGAUCGAAGACGAUCAGAUACCGUCGUAGUCUUAACCAUAAACUAUGCCGACUAGGGAUCGGAUGAUGUUAAUUUUUUAAUGACUCAUUCGGCGCCUUACGGGAAAC